AUGAUCGACCCCAUGCUUGACUUCCUGCCCGACGACAACGACCGGCGCUGGUGGUGGUCGAUCCUGGACCACAGCAACGGCCUCCUCCUCUGCAACAUGGGACCGGGCGAGCUCUGCGUGCUUAACCCGGCGACGAGGCGGUGGGCAAUUCUACCCUGGCCCCGUCAGGCACCCGUUGCGCUUGAUCCUGCAGUGCCCGGGGAGCCACCGUCGCUAGACCGGUCAUCUGUGGAUGAGGAUAAUGACAAUGACAUGCGCCACUUGAUGGAACUGGAAUCGCCACGGACUUCAUGGGCGUUGAUGAGGAUCUUAAGGGUACCGCCCCGAGCCGCUUGA
rnacentral:rRNA from 1 species